CAGCCGUAAACAAUGUGCGUUAGGUGUGUCGGUAACCACGCGUUACUGAUGCGCCGAAGAGAAAUCGUGAAACGCACCACCUGGGAAGUACGGUCGCAAGGCUGAAACUUAAAGGAAUUGGCGGGGGGAGCACCACAACAGGUGGAGCCUGCGGUUUAAUUGGAUUCAACGCCGGACAUCUCACCGGAUAAGACAGCUGAAUGAUUGUCAAUCUGAAGGUUUUACAUGACUAGCUGAGAGGAGGUGCAUGGCGUAGACGUCU
rnacentral:rRNA from 1 species